ensembl:lncRNA
GAGCCUCAGGGCAGGAGAGCUGGGGUCUUUAAGGACCAGCCUGAAAUCUAGCUCUGGUGUUACAAUGGAUGCACCUGUGCUCUGAGAGCUGCUCCUGGAUCUCCUCAAGCCUCGUGGCCCUGAGGGAAGGCCAAGAGAAACAGAAGUGCUCAACUCCAGUGAUCAUGGCAGUAGGAGUGCUCUUCUGAAGGGCGUUCUUCAUGGCGAAGGAAAACUGUCUUGCACACACUCCAUCACUGUGACACCUUAUUUCUGUACUUGGCUUCCAUGAGGGUAUGGUGACGACCACGUAAUGGUAGAGAAGGCAGCAAUCCCAAUGGCUCUUCCAUCACACAAUGAAGUCAGUCUCCAGUGACUGAAAUGGAUACUGCUGAACAUGGCUCGCUUUCAGGAAGGAAAUCUUCCAUGCCAGGAGCAGAAAGGAGGGGUGACACAAAGAUGGAGUGUGACUUCCUGCGUUCCAGAGAGCACGCCGGGUGCUGGGGCUGAGGCUGGCUUCGUGUCACAGGGGUAUGCUCCAUAACUCACAACACAAAUGUUCGUGGAGGAAGUGUCUCAGAGAGUGUUUCUGUCCCCUUGUUCUUCGUUGAGCAGAUAUUUCAUCUGCUCUCAGGAGGGAAGCAGAGCCCAAUGGAGAGCCUAACAGAACGCAGCAUGGAUAAUCCUGAGCUGUGCCCCGAGUCCUUGCUUGUUGGAGCGCAGACUGAGUUUGUGACUGCUCAGUUUAUUUCACUCUGUGCUGCUGUCUCGUUCUGAGGUAGAUCCAAAAUGGCACCAAUGAAGUAGAAAUGAUCCAAAUGAUGGAACAUCUCAUGGCAACGGCUUCUUCUGGAGGGCAUUUGGCAGCUCUGUCACAGCCAUGGGAGGGCUGAUGUGCAGCUGCCACGUUGCUCAGAAGUCACACUGGAGGACUUUAAAGGUGUGCGUGCAUGUGACUUCAAUUCCUUUGAUUUCAGCUCCGUGGUUGUGAAAUAACUUUCAGUGGGGAUUUCAUGUCAGCUAAGUUUAGCUCUUGGCUGUUGAGAGGAAGAGGGACUACACUGAUGGCUCUGCAAAUGAGCUCUGGGUUGAGUAGGGAAGGAAAAUGGACCUGGCACCUGAACUGACCUCCCCCAGCGCAGUCCUCAGGUCCUCACCUGAGAUGCUGAAAUCUGUAUUGAUAUUGUCAUCUAUAUCUCAACAUAUGUAACUUUUCCAUGCUUGCAGAGAAACAAAUGGAGUUUUUUUUUCGUCAUCUGCAUUCCAGCAAUCAUCAGAGAGCCCCUGGCUCCCAGAAGCUCUCCCUGGUGUUUGGAGCAAUUAAAUGCACAGAAUGCCCAUAGCUUUGUAACAGAGGGGAAUCAUUAUGGGGAAUCAUUAUUGCAUUGGUGUGAUUUUGCUAGUGCUGCAACCCAUUCUUUGCAGCCUAAAGCACGGGGCACAGGCAGCCCAAUGGGAAAGGUAGGGAAACAGUGGAAGGAAAGCAUGUGCAGGAGCUUUCUGCAUUUGGGAUGUAUCACACGUAGUGGUGGAGCUGUGCUAAUCAAGAUCUGGAGAAUCUGGUUCCCCAUCUGAAGUGAGCAUCCCUUUUGUAUUAGUCCCUGAAGUUAUUUUAACUCGCGUUGACACAAAUUAAACAGGAAUCUUGCUGUCCAU